rnacentral:rRNA from 1 species
CUAACAAGGAUUCCCCUAGUAACUGCGAGUGAAGCGGGAAAAGCUCAAAUUUAAAAUCUGGCAGUCCUUGGCUGUCCGAGUUGUAAUCUAGAGAAGUGCUAUCCGCGCUGGACCAUGCAUAAGUCUCCUGGAAUGGAGCAUCAUAGAGGGUGAGAAUCCCGUCUACAACAUGGACUACCAGGGCUUCUGUGAUGCGCUCUCAAAGAGUCGAGUUGUUUGGGAAUGCAGCUCUAAAUGGGUGGUAAAUUCCAUCUAAAGCUAAAUAUUGGCGAGAGACCGAUAGCGAACAAGUACCGUGAGGGAAAGAUGAAAAGAACUUUGGAAAGAGAGUUAAAUAGUACGUGAAAUUGUUGAAAGGGAAACACUUGAAGUCAGUCACAUUGGCCAGGGAUCAGCCUUGCCCCUGCUUGGUGCACUUUCUGGUUAAUGGGUCAGCAUCAAUUUUGACUGGUGGAUAAAGUCUAGGGGAAUGUGGCAUCUUUUAGAUGUGUUAUAGCCCUUGGUUGCAUACACUGGUUGGGAUUGAGGAACUCAGCACGCCGUAAGGCCGGGUCAUUUAUGAUCACGCAACGUGCUUAGGAUGCUGGCAUAAUGGCUUUAAUUGACCCGUCUUGAAACACGGACCAAGGAGUCUAACAUGCAUGCAAGUGUUUGGGUGGAAAACCCUGGACGCGCAAUGAAAGUGAAAAUUGAGAUCCCUGUCAUGGGGAGCAUCGAUGCCCGGACCAGACCUUCUGUGACGGAUCUGCGGUUGAGCAUGCAUGCUGGGACCCGAAAGAUGGUGAACUAUGCCUGAAUAGGGUGAAGCCAGAGGAAACUCUGGUGGAGGCUCGUAGCGAUUCUGACGUGCAAAUCGAUCGUCGAAUUUGGGUAUAGG